GAAAGAUAGUUCAGAGGCAAAGAAUUCAGGAGCCACCAACUCUGAUAGAGAUAACAUGGCAGUAAAAAUGGACGGAACUUCAGCUUAUAAAUGUUCUGAAACUUUGAAGGAAGAAUCUGAAAGGAAAAGUGGGGGUAUAUUUAAAUAUCUUAGAGGUACUGUAGCUGGAGAUGCUGACAAUCUUUCGAAUGCCUUGAACUGUUAUGAUGAAGCUAGAAAUGCAAUGGUUGGACAUCUCGCUAAUUCAGAAGACCUGCAAUCUUUAAUUAGAAAGAAAGGAUGGGUGUGUAAUGAAUUAGGCCGUAAGAGGAUGAAAAGGAAUGAGU
rnacentral:misc_RNA from 1 species